CGGAUUGCAGGCUGCAACUCGCCUGCAUGAAGUCGGAAUUGCUAGUAAUCGCGGAUCAGCAUGCCGCGGUGAAUACGUUCCCGGGCCUUGUACACACCGCCCGUCACACCAUGGGAGCCGGUAAUACCCGAAGUCAGUAGUCCAACCUCGUGAGGACGCUGCCGAAGGUAGGAUUGGCGACUGGGGUGAAGUCGUAACAAGGUAGC
rnacentral:rRNA from 1 species